ACCGAAAUAGCUCAGUUGGGAGAGCGUUAGACUAUAGAUCGAAAAGUCCGUGGUUCGAUCCCGGGUUCGGCC
rnacentral:tRNA from 1 species